rnacentral:rRNA from 1 species
CAGUGUGACUCGUCACACUAUCAUUAACUGAAUCCAUAGGUUAAUGAGGCGAACCGGGGGAACUGAAACAUCUAAGUACCCCGAGGAAAAGAAAUCAACCGAGAUUCCCCCAGUAGCGGCGAGCGAACGGGGAGGAGCCCAGAGCCUGAAUCAGCAUGUGUGUUAGUGGAAGCGUCUGGAAAGGCGCGCGAUACAGGGUGACAGCCCCGUACACAAAAGCGCAUGUGCUGUGAGCUCGAUGAGUAGGGCGGGACACGUGGUAUCCUGUCUGAAUAUGGGGGGACCAUCCUCCAAGGCUAAAUACUCCUGACUGACCGAUAGUGAACCAGUACCGUGAGGGAAAGGCGAAAAGAACCCCGGCGAGGGGAGUGAAAAAGAACCUGAAACCGUGUACGUACAAGCAGUGGGAGCACAGGUUUACCUGUGUGACUGCGUACCUUUUGUAUAAUGGGUCAGCGACUUAUAUUCUGUAGCAAGGUUAACCGUAUAGGGGAGCCGUAGGGAAACCGAGUCUUAACCGGGCGUUAAGUUGCAGGGUAUAGACCCGAAACCCGGUGAUCUAGCCAUGGGCAGGUUGAAGGUUGGGUAACACUAACUGGAGGACCGAACCGACUAAUGUUGAAAAAUUAGCGGAUGACCUGUGGCUGGGGGUGAAAGGCCAAUCAAACCGGGAGAUAGCUGGUUCUCCCCGAAAGCUAUUUAGGUAGCGCCUCGUGAAUUCAUCUCCGGGGGUAGAGCACUGUUUCGGCUAGGGGGCCAUCCCGGCUUACCAACCCGAUGCAAACUGCGAAUACCGGAGAAUGUUAUCACGGGAGACACACGGCGGGUGCUAACGUCCGUCGUGAAGAGGGAAACAACCCAGACCGCCAGCUAAGGUCCCAAAGUCAUGGUUAAGUGGGAAACGAUGUGGGAAGGCCCAGACAGCCAGGAUGUUGGCUUAGAAGCAGCCAUCAUUUAAAGAAAGCGUAAUAGCUCACUGGUCGAGUCGGCCUGCGCGGAAGAUGUAACGGGGCUAAACCAUGCACCGAAGCUGCGGCAGCGACGCUGAUGCGUUGUUGGGUAGGGGAGCGUUCUGUAAGCCUG